UACGGAGGGUGCAAACGUUGCUCGGAAUCAUUGGGCGUAAAGCGCACGUAGGCGGCUCGCUAAGUCGGAUGUGAAAGCCCCGGGCUCAACCCGGGAAGUGCAUACGAAACUGGCGAGCUUGAAUAUGGAAGAGGGUCGCGGAAUUCCCGGUGUAGAGGUGAAAUGCGUAGAUAUCAGGGGGAACACCGGUAGCGAAGGCGGCUCUCUGGAACAGUACUGACGCUGAGGCGCGAAAGCUAGGGUAGCAAAC
rnacentral:rRNA from 1 species